UUUAAGUUUUACUUAGCAGAAAGUGUUGUUGUAAGGACAUGGCUUGGCGACUUGGUGCUCUGCCGAGUGCAGGCAUUUUUGGGAGCACAACUAGAUACAUCAGAAGCACGAAAUGGUCCAUAGGAAGGACACCUUGAUCCAUCAGAAGCAGGAAACGCAAAGAAUAUUCUCCUGAGCACCUGUUUGGGUGACUGUGUGUUCUGCUGACUGCAGGAGUCUUCAGGAGGACAUCUAGACACAUCA